GAAAUGCGAUAAGUAAUGUGAAUUGCAGAAUUCAGUGAAUCAUCGAAUCUUUGAACGCAUCUUGCGCUCCUUGGUAUUCCGAGGAGCAUGCCUGUUUGAGUGUCAUUUUGAACUCUCAAAGCCCACAUCUUGAUGUGGCUUUGGACUUGGGGGCUUUUGCAGGCUUUUAAUGAAAGGCCUGCUCCCCUGAAAUUCAUUAGUGGUACCUGGAGUGGAAACCGCUAGGUGUUGAUAACAUUCAUCUAUGCCUUUGGUAUGCCGCGCAAAUGGGCUGCUUCGAAAACGCACAUGCUCUUGACAAACUUGACCUCAAAUCAGGUAGGACUACCCGCUGAACUUAA
rnacentral:misc_RNA from 1 species